CCCAGGCAGGCGUGCCCUCGGCCAAGAGGCCUCGGGCGCAACUUGCGUUCAAAGACUCGAUGGUUCGCGGGAUUCUGCAAUUCACACCAGGUAUCGCAUUUCGCUACGUUCUUCAUCGAUGCGAGAGCCGAGAUAUCCGUUGCCGAGAGUCGUGUGGAUUAUAUAGAAUUGCAACUCAGGGUGCGGCCAGCAAGCCAGCCACAUCCCCUCGUUAGGCACAGUGUUCCUUGACGCCUUCGGCGCCGUGGGUUCUUUUACCCCGAGCCC
rnacentral:rRNA from 3 species